CCUACGGCCCCAAGUGUCAGGUCUCAAAGUAUGUCAGGAAAUUUAACACAGUAAUUAAUCUGCUAAAAAUAUUUGGAUUUUCUGAUUUUAUGUUUUCUCUGGAGCAUUUGUGUUAAUAAGCAUUCUACCUCAUCAACGAUUGUAACAGAAAGAUUUCGAUGACAAGGACCUGAUGUGGCUAUGCAUAAUACCAUAGGAAUUUCCAAGAAGAAAGAAUCAGGAGAGAAUAAUGGAAAAUAUAGUUAGUUAACAUAUGCCCAUCAGAAUGGUUAAAAGUUACUGCUCUGCGCUCCUCUCCCCGCACUCCACGGGCAAAACUGGACGCGUGGCGAUCAGCCGUUGUUCUGGAAGGUUUAAAAAAACACUUUUACUUUACGGGUAUCUCAACUAGACCCAGCUCAUCCCUACUCACGUUUACAUCUUUUUCAUAUAAAACCUCGAACUAAAAUUUAUUUUGACACAAAGAAGAAGAAAUUCGAGAAUCCUAACAUUUUUAUAGAAACACCCCCGCAAACGUUUUUGCAUCAACCCCCUCCCGCGGUCCGCAACUCUAACCCCAUCUCCCGGCUCCGCGCCGCCCUCUCCCUCCCUCUCCUGCUCCCCACCGCCUACCCUCUCCUCCCCGGCUUCCCUCCCCGCCCCUCACCCCACCGUGCGGCAUGGCCGGCAUGGAUCCGGUGGGUCGCGGUCUAUUGCUCCUAGGCUCCGGCAGCGACGAGGUGCGCGCCGCCCUCUCUCUCACUCUCUGCUCUCUCCCGAGCGCCACCACCUCCCCUCCCCUCCUCCCUCCCUGCGGGCGCUCCUCCUGCUCUCCGCCACCGCCGCCCGCUCACUCGGGAAGUCGGGAUGCAGAUCCGGUGCUACCGCGGAGGGAGGGGGCACGGGCUGGACUAGGCGCACGCCCCCCCUCCCUCUCCUGCCACCCCCCCCCCCCCCCCCCCCCCCCCCCCCCCGAUGCCCCCAAGGCCCCAGUGCCUCGCCCUGACUGCAUGGAGGAGGAAGAGGCGGGGCACCAUCAUCAUCUUCGUUGUCGCCGCCGCCCAUCGUGCAGCUGGGCUACGAACAGCUGUUGUCCGUCCUCCGCCUCCUCCCGACCGAGGCCGUGCUCUCCACUGCCACCUGCCGCGCGUUCCGGGCCGGCGCUUCCUCUAACGUACUCUAGGCGGCUAUCCGUCCUCCGCCUGCUCCCGCUCGAGGCCGUGCUCACCUUCGCCGCCACCUGCCACGUGUUCCGGGCCUUGGCUUCCUCCCACGCGCUCUGGGUGGCGCUGUGCCGCCGCGACUGGGGUGCCCGCACUGCCGCCGUGCCGGAGGAUCUACGCCGAUGUCGCUAGGCUAGCCCCCCUGUCCGCGCGCCGUGCCCCCAUGAGGCGCCUCGCCUCGACCACGCGCAUCGCACUUGCUCAACCUCGAUGAAAUUACUGGCAAUAGCUCACAGAUUGCGAAAUUUUCGAGUUUCGAGUGUAAUGGAAAAGAUGUUGGGCUCAGCGUGCGAAAGAAGUCUGAAACAGUUCUAGCCAUUGUGGGUGGGAGAAACUUACGGAUGCAGUUCCAAGUCAGGGAGAAGGCUGCUGCUACGAGGGAUAAGUAAGGCAUUCACUCCUGACUUACUGAUGCAGCAGUAUGUUCUUUUAGCAGAUUAGCAAAAUUCUCAUCAGUAUGUUCUUUUAGCAGAUUAGCAAAAUUCUCAUCUUGACAUGGAUGCAUAUGUAGGUACUUCGGUUUGUCAUCAACUGAGGUAACAUACAAGUCAAACGCAGCAUCAUUUGGCAGUGCCAGCUACUUCCAUAUGCCUGUCCUGAUUUGCGAGAGCUGGCUUGCCUCUGAUCAAAGGGGGAAAAAAUACUAAUAAAGUAGGAUGGAUAUUCAUACGGAGCUUAUUUAGUCUAGAAGGAAUCAGAUGAUCAAACGAGGAACGGUAAAGGAACGGCUAACAGUUGAUUCAGUGUCUAGGAAGAUGGCUGGUUUGUGUCCACUCAUGCUAGAAGAGACCCAUGGAUUCCAAGGAUCAGGGUCUUUCUUUUUGGUUCUGCUAUCAACAUAUAGAGGCUGACAAAAUAUAUGAAACAGAAUUGAAUAAAACACUUAUCAUGGAGGCUAUCGUGUUGAUGGGCACACUAUAGAGAUAAUGAUGAGUUUGUGAUCCUAAGUUUGAGUGUUAAAGAAUCUGACCUGGUGACUGGGAAGCUUCACGGGCAGAUCCACCUCCAAAGGUUAAGAACAUUAGCUUCAGUGUUUGGGAUGUGAGUGGUCAGGACAAGGUAUGAAUAAAACCUUUUUGUUUGGGUGAUAUUACUUUUGAUAUCAUACAGUUAUUAUUGCUAAUUUCAUGUAUGUAUUAUAAUAUUUGAUAUCAUACAGUUAUUAUUGCUAAUUCCAUGUAUGUAUUAUAAUAUGGAAUUUAACACUCACUUCAAAUUUUGAUGGAUGAAAAUGUUGCCGAUUACACAUUUAAGGUUAUCAGGUACUAGCAACAUAUUCCGGGUCGAGCUCGAGCUCCAGCACGACCUCAAGCUCAAGCACAGCAACGAGCACCAGCCAGCAAGCUGGAUAUGAGACACCUAUGAUGAUAGUGUACCCACAAUCGCACAGUGCUCAAUGUUAGCAUAUUAACGAUGUAUCUAUUCCUAUAUGCUUUAAUUUUGUGUUGAAUUUAUCCUAUACCAUGUAUGUCAUUUGUAACAUUUCAUUACCUUCAAUUUAUACUUAUUUAAUUGCAUAUUUAUUAUCUUUGAUUUUUACUUA